CGUCUCCCGCCUGCCCUGCCUCAGGCUUGCCAACACAGCUUCCUGGAGUCGAGGCUGACUCCUGCCUCUGCCGCCGCGGCUCGGACUUCCCUGGCACCCUGGGUACCCAUCCUAGAGAAAGGCAGAGUCAGGAAGAAGCCAAGACAGCUCGGAGCCCUGGAGGGGAGGCCGGGGAUGACAGAGCCUGCAAGGCACCCAGGAACCUUCGUAUCCAGCUCCGUUCUUCAGCGCGGGGGACACUGAGUCCACCGUUUUGCUGACCACGAAGGAGCACAGAGCUAACUUCUCUCCUGCGUCUGAACACGAUGAGGAUUCAGAACCUGGGCAGCAGCAAGGGCCUUUCAUUCCCAUCCACCUCCUCAGCGAGUCCAGAUGAAUUUGGACAAUGGAAACUUUCAGGUUCCCAGUAGCCUUAUCAGGUGAAUAAGGAAGCUCAGCUCCUGGCAGGUGCAAGAAUGUCAAGGUAUUUUGGAGACCUUGAGAAGAGAGGAAUUCACCCAAAUCUAUAGCUAUUGUGGCGGAAGCUAAUGGCAAGCCCUUGGCAUGGCUUUCCUGGCUCAACUUGAGAGGCCUUUUAAAAGUUCAACCUGAAAUUCCUUAUGAAAAGUUCCAGGAAAAACAAUUUAAAAGAGCCUAUAUAAUCAAUUACACUUAUGUAAAUAAUCAGGCCAAGUUUAUUUGGCAAAAAAAGUAGCCUUAAUUGGGGUAUAUUUGGUAGAAAUGAAGAUGAUUUUAGAGAAAAAUAAAGUUCUAGCGGCUAUUAAGUUCUGAUGUUGUCAGUUGUCUUCCACCUUUGUACUUACUGCCCAAGGCUCACUUCCUUUGUUGGCUCCUUGUUACAUUAUUGUGAAGUUUAAUUGAAUUAUUGAAAGGACAUUGUAAGUUUGUUUCUGAAGCUUAGCACAGUAAUCCUUGGAUGAAGAUCAGAUGCCCCAUGACCUGUAACAAGGUUACACGGACUAGAAAAUACAUCGUUGAAAGGACUUUCUCCAGCCUGUACAGAAGGACCCUCCAAUGAAAAUAAUGACAACUAGGCGACUUGAUUAACCAAAUAAAUAGUUCCACAUAAGAUCAAUGAUUGUAAUAGUGUAACCCUGGAUAUGGGAAGAAGCAGUAAGAGGGAAGCUAUUCCUGUAGUUUCCAGUAAGAGGGAAACUAUAACAGACUCGUAAGACUGUUAGGGGCCUAGUUCAGUAACAGGACACUGAGUGGCCCAUAGCAGUGAAACCCUCACCAGACCUGCGAAUGAGCCUUCCUGGCGCCAUGGGACCAAUUGGUCAUGAAAUGCCUCUAAAGCUUGGUCAAA